GACGAACGCUGGCGGCGUGCUUAACACAUGCAAGUUGAGCGAGUGAGUUCUCUUCGGAGAACGAUCUAGCGGCGGACGGGUGAGUAACACGUGGGCAACCUGUCUUGUAGAGGGGGAUAGACUUCCGAAAGGAAGAUUAAUACUGCAUAACAAAAUUUUAUCGUAUGGUGAAAUUUUUAAAGGAGUAAUCCGCUACAAGAUGGGCCCGCGGCGCAUUAGCUAGUUGGUGAGGUAACGGCUCACCAAGGCGACGAUGCGUAGCCGACCUGAGAGGGUGAUCGGCCACAUUGGAACUGAGACACGGUCCAGACUCCUACGGGAGGCAGCAGUGGGGAAUAUUGCGCAAUGGGGGAAACCCUGAUGCAGCAACGCCGCGUGAGUGAUGACGGCCUUCGGGUUGUAAAGCUCUGUCAUUAGGGACGAAAUUGACGGUACCUAAUGAGGAAGCCACGGCUAACUACGUGCCAGCCGCCGCUGUAA
rnacentral:rRNA from 1 species